UAGGGAAUCUUCGGCAGUGGGGGCAACCCUGACCGAGCAACGCCGCGUGAGUGAAGAAGGUUUUCGGAUCGUAAAGCUCUGUUGUAAGAGAAGAACGUGUGUGAGAGUGGAAAGUUCACACAGUGACGGUAACUUACCAGAAAGGGACGGCUAACUACGUGUCAG
rnacentral:rRNA from 1 species